ensembl:misc_RNA 7SK 7SK RNA
GGAUGUGAGGGUGAUCUGGCUGUGACAUCUGUCACCCCAUUGAUUGCCAGGGUUGAUCCAGUUGAUAUGGCUGGCUAGGCGGGUGUCUCCUUCCUGCCUCACCACUCCAUGUACAUCCCUCCUGAAGCUGCGUGCUUGGUCAAAGAGGACAACCAUCCCUGAUAGAGGAGGACCGGUCUUCGGUCAAGGGUAUACGAGUAGCUGCACUCCCCUACUAGAGCCUCCAAAUAAGCUCUCAAGAAGCCUGAAUGUUUAAUCCUGAUUAUGUUAGACAGAACCAUCACAGAGAAGAAAAAAAACUCUGACUCUUGGGAUGGGGCCAUCUGUGUCAAUA